rnacentral:tRNA from 1 species
CGGGGAGUGGCGCAGUUGGAAGCGCGCCGCGUUUGGGACGCGGAGGCCCGGGGUUCAAGUCCCCGCUCCCCGACUA